rnacentral:lncRNA from 1 species
CCGGUUUGCGUGUUUCUGUAUACUUUGAACAUACAUAUACUAUGAAUAAAGUGUAUUUUCAGAAUUUUAUCUGCUAUCAUUUUCAAGUUUACUAUCCAUGGCAGUCACAGAGUUUAUUAAAUAGAGAGGGUCUGUAUACUAUAUCAAUGAUCACCAUGGAUCGAUUAGUAAACUUAGAAUUGAAAGUAAAUACGCUUUAUUUAUAUAGUAAUGAAUCGGUUCAUAAUAUACAGAUAAGCGCUAAAAUUAUUCAUGUGAACUUUUGAUACUUUUUCUGAAAUUCUCCAGUCAUUAAAUCUUUUACAAAAUUCAUUGAUUACAAAAAAAAAAAGAAGAUGUGGUAUGAUUGCCAUGUUGAGACAACUCUCCACAAGAGACCAAAAUGACACAGAAAUUAACAAUUAUAGGUAACCGUACGGCCUUCAACAAAGAGCAAAGCCCAUACCGCAUACUCAGCUUCAAAAGGCCCCGAAAUGACAAUGUAAAACAAUGCAAACGAGAAAACUAGCGGCCUUAUUUAUGUACAAAAAAUGAACGAAAAACAAAUAUGUAACACAUAAACAAACGACAACCACUGAAUUACAGGCUCCUUACUUAAAUAAAUGUUCAUAACAUACUAAAUGUAUGUUCAUAUUGAAAUUGAUAGAAAACCAAAAAUUGGGAACUUUGGAAAUAAAGGUGGAGGGUAAAAAAAAAUAUUUUCCUGUCCCCAAUAACCUAUGACUUAUGAUACUUUUGCUGAAAUUCUCCAGUCAUUCUGUAUUUAACAAAAUUCUUCCAACAACACUUUACAUACUGAUACUUUAAACUACGCUCUGAAUGCCCACGAUUUCGCGGGUGUGUUCUAGUAUACUUUAAAAG